rnacentral:tRNA from 1 species
UCUCAGGUGGCUCAGACAGUAAAGCGUCUGCUUGCAAUGCAGAAGACCCGGGUUCAACCCCUGGGUUGGGAA